UAACUUCUGUAAUUAUCAAGUCUGUUUCAGCAUUUCGACAUCAAAAACAAGAUACACUUCAAUAAUGUAAUUGAACCUAGGCUACAAUUAGGCCCUAUGUAUUCCCCAUACAUAAAUAAAAUAAGGUUGAAUCCCUGAAGAGUGAUGAAUGCAGCCAAGGAAAACAUGAAGAAUAGAAAAGAAAGUGGAAAAUAACACAGGUAAGACAAAUAAAUCAGUUCUUACUUUUUAAUAUUUACAUAGGCUAUCAAGCUGUUGGUAAGCUGACAAGAUAAGUUAUUAAGGAAAAUUACUUUUUUUUUUUUAGUUAUUGCAUUUAAGACUGUUAUGCAGCGCAAAAAUAAAAGUGUGAAAGCCAAUCAAAUGAGCUCGUGAUCGAGUGACGUCACUUAGGGUACGCGCAUGUAUCCAUGGCAACGCUGAGUGACAGUUAACGGUCAUGGUGAUUUCCCCAGAUAUGGCCUUGAGUUUUCGCUUUUGUCCGGUCGAAAAGACGAGAGCUGUGUACUCCUGAACUUCUUCCCAGAGACAUAACGUUAUUUCCUUUCGCUGGCAAUGCGGGGCAGACAGGGCAUAGGAAACACCGGAAGUAAGUGUUUUACCUCAAUUGCGAUAUGUGUUUUAUAAGAUGUUAUUACUUUAUGACGAUAUUAACGUUACGCAGUGCUUUUAACAAGGAAACGUAAGAAGUAAGUGUUUUACCUCAUUUAACAUAUAUAUUUUAUAGCUGUAUGCUUCUAAACCAACAUAAACGUUUCUUACAGAUCUCAUUUGCAUUACAGUGCUAACGUAGAGGUCAUUUUUAACAGGGAAACGGACAGAGAAGUUGGUUUUAUCAAGGAAAACACAGAAAAUCUGAAUUGCUAUGCAGUGCUGACGUGGAGGUUGCUUUUAACAGGGAAACACUUGAAGUUUCGAACAUAAGGGUGGAAUCAGACCUGGAUAACGAACAACAUCUGGAACACACGUCAGACGACAGACAGACAAGCACACACACAAAAGAAAAAUAUUUUAAC